UACAGAGGGUGCAAGCGUUAAUCGGAAUUACUGGGCGUAAAGCGUGCGUAGACGGUUAUGUAAGUCAGAUGUGAAAGCCCCCGGGCUCAACCUGGGAAUUGCAUUUGAGACUGCAUAGCUAGGGUGCGGAAGAGGGAAGCGGAAUUUCCGGUGUAGCGGUGAAAUGCGUAGAUAUCGGAAGGAACACCAGUGGCGAAAGCGGCUUCCUGGUCCAGCACCGACGUCAGGCACGAAAGCGUGGGGAGCAAACAGG
rnacentral:rRNA from 1 species